AGAGUUUGAUCAUGGCUCAGGACGAACGCUGGCGGCGUGCCUAACACAUGCAAGUCGAACGGAGUGCUUGCAUCUGAUUCUUUCGGGAUGAAGAAGCAAGUAUCUCAGUGGCGAACGGGUGAGUAACGCGUGAGAAACCUGCCUUUCACAAAGGGAUAGCCUCGGGAAACUGGGAUUAAUACCAUAUAAAGUUCCAAAUUAGCAUUAAAAAGGAACCAAAGUGUAAGCGGUGAAAGAUGGUCUCGCGUCCCAUUAGCUAGUUGGUGAGAUAAAAGCCCACCAAGGCGACGAUGGGUAGCCGGCCUGAGAGGGUGACCGGCCACGCUGGAACUGAGACACGGUCCAGACUCCUACGGGAGGCAGCAGUGGGGAAUAUUGCACAAUGGAGGGAACUCUGAUGCAGCGACGCCGCGUGAGCGAAGAAGGCUUUCGAGUCGUAAAGCUCUGUCCUAGGGGACGAUAAUGACGGUACCCAAGGAGGAAGCCCCGGCUAACUACGUGCCAGCAGCCGCGGUAAUACGUAGGGGGCGAGCGUUGUCCGGAAUUAUUGGGCGUAAAGGGUUCGCAGGCGGCCUAUUAAGUCAGAUGUGAAAUCCCAUGGCUUAACCAUGGUAAGCAUUUGAAACUGGAAGGCUUGAGUUAAGGAGAGGAAAGUGGAAUUCCUAGUGUAGCGGUGAAAUGCGUAGAUAUUAGGAGGAAUACCAGUGGCGAAGGCGACUUUCUGGACUUUAACUGACGCUGAGGAACGAAAGCGUGGGUAGCAAACAGGAUUAGAUACCCUGUAGUCCACGCCGUAAACGAUGAGUGCUAGGUGUUGGGGGUCAAACCUC
rnacentral:rRNA from 1 species